CGAACGCUGGCGGCAGGCUUAACACAUGCAAGUCGAGCGGGGAAGGGUAGCUUGCUACCUGACCUAGCGGCGGACGGGUGAGUAAUGCUUAGGAAUCUGCCUAUUAGUGGGGGACAACAUUCCGAAAGGAAUGCUAAUACCGCAUACGCCCUACGGGGGAAAGCAGGGGAUCUUCGGACCUUGCGCUAAUAGAUGAGCCUAAGUCAGAUUAGCUAGUUGGUGGGGUAAAGGCCUACCAAGGCGACGAUCUGUAGCGGGUCUGAGAGGAUGAUCCGCCACACUGGGACUGAGACACGGCCCACG
rnacentral:rRNA from 1 species